rnacentral:misc_RNA from 1 species
AGCAGCCGCGGUAAUUCCAGCUCCAAUAGCGUAUAUUAAAGUUGUUGCAGUUAAAAAGCUCGUAGUUGAAUUUCGGGAUCAAAGGAUCGGUCAUGCCUUGGUAUGUACUGGUUUUAUUGGUUCUCACCUUCUAAAGAACCAUAAUGUCAUUCAUUUGAUGUUAUGGGGAAUUAGGACUGUUACCUUGAAAAAUUAGAGUGUUUAAAGCAGGCUUACGCUUGAAUACAUUAGCAUGGAAUAAUGAAAUAGGACAUCAGAUUCUAUUUUGUUGGUUUCUAGGAUCGAUGUAAUGAUUAAUAGGGAUAGUUGGGGGCAUUAGUAUUCAAUUGUCAGAGGUGAAAUUCUUGGAUUUAUUGAAGACUAACUACUGCGAAAGCAUUUGCCAAGGAUGUUUUCAUUAAUCAAGAACGAAAGUUAGGGGAUCGAAGACGAUCAGAUACCGUCGUAGUCUUAACCAUAAACUAUGCCGACUAGGGAUCGGAUGAUGUUAAUUUUAUAAUGACUCAUUCGG